rnacentral:rRNA from 1 species
UUUCAGCGGGGAGGAAGGCUUCGGGCUAAUAUCCUGGAGUACUUGACGUUACCUGCAGAAGAAGCACCGGCUAAUUUCGUGCCAGCAGCCGCGGUAAUACGAAAGGUGCGAGCGUUAAUCGGAAUUACUGGGCGUAAAGCGCGCGUAGGCGGCUAUUUAAGUCGGAUGUGAAAUCCCCGGGCUCAACCUGGGAACUGCAUCCGAUACUGGGUGGCUAGAGUGCAGUAGAGGGAGGUGGAAUUCCAGGUGUAGCGGUGAAAUGCGUAGAGAUCUGGAGGAACACCAGUGGCGAAGGCGGCCUCCUGGACUGACACUGACGCUGAGGUGCGAAAGCUUGGGGAUCAAACAGGAUUAGAUACCCUGGUAGUCCACGCCGUAAACGAUGUCUACUAGCCGUUGGUCCCUUAGUGGUGCUGGUGUUCAGCUAACGCAAUAAGUAGACCGCCUGGGCAGUACGGCCGCAAGAUUAAACUCAAUGAUUUUGCGGAA